rnacentral:piRNA from 1 species
UUAUUGGGUAAGAAUGGAAUGGAAC